rnacentral:pre_miRNA from 1 species
GGAUGCAUUACUGGGCAAUUACUGCUUUGGCAGUUGGUCAGUGACCUACUACCUGCAUGUAUACUAUACAGUUAUAUAUGUUUAUAUGAUUAUAUUAAACGUAGUCUGUGCUCACUGCCAAAGGAGAUUUGCCCCGCAAUUCAUCA